rnacentral:tRNA from 1 species
GGAGAGAUGGCUGAGCGGUUUAAGGCGCACGACUGGAAAUCGUGUGUCGGCUAAUACCCGACCGCGGGUUCAAAUCCCGCUCUCUCCG